rnacentral:rRNA from 1 species
GAUGAACGCUGGCGGCGUGCCUAAUACAUGCCAGUCGAGCGAACAGACGAGGAGCUUGCUCCUCUGACGUUAGCGGCGGACGGGUGAGUAACACGUGGAUAACCUACCUAUAAGUCUGGGAUAACUUCGGGAAACCGGAGCUAAUACCGGAUAAUAUAUUGAACCGCAUGGUUCAAUAGUGAAAGACGGUUUUGCUGUCACUUAUAGAUGGAUCCGCGCCGCAUUAGCUAGUUGGUAAGGUAACGGCUUACCAAGGCAACGAUGCGUAGCCGACCUGAGAGGGUGAUCGGCCACACUGGAACUGAGACACGGUCCAGACUCCUACGGGAGGCAGCAGUAGGGAAUCUUCCGCAAUGGGCGAAAGCCUGACGGAGCAACGCCGCGUGAGUGAUGAAGGUCUUCGGAUCGUAAAACUCUGUUAUUAGGGAAGAACAAAUGUGUAAGUAACUAUGCACGUCUUGACGGUACCUAAUCAGAAAGCCACGGCUAACUACGUG